rnacentral:miRNA from 1 species
GGUGGGAAUGCUAUUGUGUUCAUGUCCUACUUGUGGAUUUCCCAUAGGGAUUUGUCCUCAUGGCUAUAUUGUUGCCUAUGGGAAGUUCACAAGCAGGACAUAAGCGCAAUAGCAUUCUCUCACU